GUCCUUGCCCUCUUUCUGGCUUGAAUGGAAAAUGUGGCCUCCUGGGACUGUCAGUGGUGUGGUCCCCACAUCCUUAGUUGUACACAUAACAUGCUUACCGUGUGCUUGCUUUGAGUCCCUUCUGAGCUCCCAUGCAAUGUAGACUCAUCGGAAUCCCGUGCUCAUGGGAUUUUAUGAACACUAUAUGCAAAUAGGACAGCAAGAAAUGGCAGUAAACGCUUUUAUUGUUGCUAUCUCCUCUGCUCCUGCACAUGCUCCAUGGUAUCGUUGGACUUCACUUACAAAACACAGAUACAAAGACAAAAUUACUAAGAAUUACCAAGAAUUUUAAUUUCAAGAUGGCAACAGAGUAUUAAACCAAAGAUGAAGUCGUUCUGAGUGUGGGGUUUGCGAGAUGGCACAGGUGGCACUCCCAGGAGCUCGUCUUGGCCAGGUCGCACCCUUGAGUCCAUUGGAACCUGAAUCUCACCCUGCUCUGCUAUGCUAUACUGACUCCAGCUGAAUUCAAGGAGUUACAGUUUGAAACUCUCCAGACUCCAGUGGCCAUCCCACUUGUGUUCCAUCUUGCUGUCUCUCCUAGAUCACUUGCUCUGAGGGAGGACAUCUGCUGUAUCAUGAGGACGCAAAACCAUCCCAUGGAGGGUGCUACAUGCAGAGCAGCUGAGGCCUCCUGCUAGUUGUCAGUGAGGAACCGAGGCUUCUUGCCAAUGGCCAUGUGAGUGAGCCAUCUUGCAAACAGAUCCCCUAACCCCAGUUAAGCCCUUCAGGCAAACUGCAACGUUGUCAAGUCUUAACUGCAACCUCAUGAGAGACCCUAGGCCAUAGCCACCAGCUAAGCUGCUCUUGAAUUCCUGACUCAGAAACUUUGAGAUCAUGAAUCUUUGUUGUAUUAGGCCUCCAACCUUAGGGGUAAUUGGUU
rnacentral:lncRNA from 1 species